AUUAUGCGUGCGAGUUAAGUGCGAUCGGGAUGCUAUCAAUAAUCAUCUUGUAUCCGUUUGUGUGAGGGUAUUUUUGGAAAAAAAAGAAAGCUUUCCUCCUGCGAAGAGUUUAAAAAGCUUACGCUAGCUGACGAGAAACAGGAUCUCGUGGAUAAUUUUAUAGAGAAGGUCCACGUGGAAAUGGACAACGAUCCGAUUUGGCAAUCGGCAAGCGUCAACCAGUUAGAUUUGGCGAGAGUUGUAGUGGAAAGAACCGUCAUGGCACGGGUAUACCACAAUACGCUCUAUCUAAAUAAAGAUGGAGAUGUAUAUAGGGACCAGCUUUUUCACGGUCAUAUCAAUAAGUUGGCAAAAGUCGUAACUUCAAAUCACAGGGACCUACGCAUUUCAAAAGUUUAUCAUUACGAAUGCCCCUAGUCAUGGGCGCAGGCUGAAUUGGCUGUGAUAUCGGUGUAUAAGACUCCUAGGGAUAAGUUGCAGUGUGUAUUUUGUUGCGCGACUACCAUCAUGAAUCUCUUUUCCAUGGCGUCGGAAAGAGGCAUACCUGCUGCCGACGAUCUGACUCCCGUGUCUACAGACUAAUCUGCCGUCGUUGUAUCGACUGUUCAAUAUGUAGACAGCUUUUACGGGAAUCGAUUGGAGGGAGAAGAACAAUAUUGGUGGACGCAGUUCUGCGCCGCGAUCGAGUUAAGACAAUGGAUUAACAGUUUCUCAAGAGUAUCACGAUAAAUAAGAUUAGAUUCGAUGCUGGUGAUAAUGUAGAAAUGUAUCAUAAUCAUAAUUUGACGAUUUCAUAAAGAAGAAGACCAAUAUCUUGUGUAAAGCUAGCUGAACAGUUUUAUGCUUCCAGUAUCAAUUAAAAUUCUUAAAUAGCCUCUUAAAUAGUCUAAUUGUUAGUUCUUUCGCACGUUAUUAUGUAACAUUAGCAAAGACUGAAUUAGAUUAUACGUAAAGUGUGGCUUUAUCUUUAUUUGUAACUCUAUUGUACAAUAUGUCACAGGACAUCGAAAAAAAAGAAACGUUUAGAUAUUCUAUAAUUUAUGUACAAUACAGAACUUAUAGAGAAUUGAUAACCAUGAUUUAGCAGGAUAAACUGUGUUGGCGUACUCUUUCUACAUGCGCACCUUCCUCAAGAGCCGAGACUCGAACCAGAUCCGUGAAAAAUAUCGCCAAUUUCGUAGAGCUUUUGUACAGUUUUACUCUAGGAAUAUCGCGAGAGAAAGAAAGACUUCGGAGAUUUUUAUCUGAAUCGAUCAACAUAAAGAGAGAGCAUAGUAAAGAAGCUAUUAGCUUUCGAGAAUUUGAACGCAUAAUACUUUGUUAUAAUACUAUGAGCGAAUUAGUUUACGUCACUCUGUCAAGUUUUAAUAUUAAAUUACUAAUAAUAUAUCGAUAUCGGUAGUUUAAUAAUAAUACAUUUAAAAGCGCUCAAUUUAAAAGUAGGGCAAUCCUAAUAAACGACUGUAAAAAAAAUUCAAGGUGGAACGCAAUGGACAAUCCGGUUGCUCUGACAUGCUAACUUAAAUGGCAAAAAGUACUUCUCAGCGGUAAUGACAUUUGAGUCUCUUUUAAUUGGGUUGUGGCAGGGCGUUUGAGAUAACCUGCUCUUCACCCUGCACAGCUGACGGACCUUCGGGAA